rnacentral:rRNA from 1 species
GACGAACGCUGGCGGCGUGCUUAACACAUGCAAGUCGAACGGUGAAGCGCCUUCCUUUUUGGUGGGUGUGGAGGAGUGGCGAAGGGGUGAGUAACACGAGAGUAACCUGCCCCCUGCUUUUGGAUAACCGCAUGAAAGUGUGGCUAAUACGGGAGAUUCUGGUUCUGUGGCAUGGUGGGUAUGGGUAAGAGGUUGGUUCGGGGGGGGAUGGUCUCGAGGCCUGUCGGCUGGUUGGUGGUGUGAUGGGCUAGGAAGGGGGUGGCGGGUGGCCGGCCUGGGAGGGUGGACGGUCAGAGUGGGACGGAGACACCGCCCGGACUCCUACGCGGGGCAGCAUUGUAGAAUAGUGCACAGUGGGCGAAAGCGUGAUGCGGCGGCGCCGCGGGUGCGAUGGAGGCCUUCGGGUUGUGAAGCUCUUUCGCUAGUGAAGCGGGCCUGCCUCGUUUGUGGGUGGGUUGACGGUAGCUGGAAAAGAAGCGCCGGCUAACUACGUG